rnacentral:rRNA from 1 species
ACUGCUCAGUAACACGUGGACAACCUACCCUAAGGAGGGGGAUAACCCCGGGAAACUGGGGAUAAUACCCCAUAGGCUAGAGAAGCUGGAAUGCUCUCAAGUCCAAAGGUCCGCCGCCUUAGGAUGGGUCUGCGGUCGAUUAGGUUGUUGUUGGGGUAACGGCCCAACAAGCCUGUGAUCGAUACGGGUUGUGAGAGCAAGAGCCCGGAGAUGGAUUCUGAGACACGAAUCCAGGCCCUACGGGGCGCAGCAGGCGCGAAAACUUUACAAUGCGGGAAACCGUGAUAAGGGAACCCCGAGUGCCCGUAAAUUCGGGCUGUCCAUCAGCGUAAAUAACUGGUGAAGAAAGGGCCGGGCAAGACCGGUGCCAGCCGCCGCGGUAAUACCGGCGGCUCGAGUGGUGGCCACUAUUAUUGGGCUUAAAGCGUCCGUAGCUUGGUUGUUAAGUCUCUUGGGAAAUCUACCGGCUCAACCGGUAGGCGUUCAGGAGAUACUGGCAAUCUAGGGACCGGGAGAGGUGAGAGGUACUCCAGGGGUAGGAGUGAAAUCCUGUAAUCCUUGGGGGACCACCUGUGGCGAAGGCGUCUCACUAGAACGGCUCCGACAGUGAGGGACGAAAGCUGGGGGAGCAAACCGGAUUAGAUACCCGGGUAGUCCCAGCUGUAAACGAUGCGCGUUAGGUGUAUCGGUGACCACGAGUCACCGAGGUGCCGAAGGGAAACCGUGAAACGUGCCGCCUGGGAAGUACGGUCGCAAGGCUGAAACUUAAAGGAAUUGGCGGGGGAGCAC